rnacentral:misc_RNA from 1 species
UCCGGUUUGUCACCGGCAGUCUCCCAUGAGUCCCCAACUGAAUGCUGGCAACAUGGAACGGGGGUUGCGCUCGUUGCGGGACUUAACCCAACAUCUCACGACGCGAGCUGACGACAGCCAUGCAGCACCUGUGUCCAGGUUCCCUUUCGGGCACCCCUCCAUCUCUGGAGGGUUCCUGGCAUGUCAAGGGUAGGUAAGGUUUUUCGCGUUGCAUCGAAUUAAUCCACAUAAUCCACCGCUUGUGCGGGUCCCCGUCAAUUCCUUUGAGUUUUAACCUUGCGGCCGUACUCCCCAGGCGGUCAACUUCACGCGUUAGCUUCGUUACCAAGGAAGGUGGGGAUGACGUUUCUAGGAGGGUG